UGGGUGGUGUAUAUCUCAAGGGUCAUUUUGUCUAUUUAUAUUGCAUCUCCAUAGACAACGGGAGCAUGUCAAAAAUUGAGUUGUAACUUGUAUCCUCUAAAGCUAUGUGUAUCUAGGAAGUUGUGAAGUUUUAGAUUUCAGCAGUGGCAUAAAGCCACCGGUAAGUUUUUUCUCUAGAAUUCUUCCAUCCUUUUCGGCCAUUGCCUGUAUUGAGCCUAAGGACAAUGGGGUUCUUCGAACCUAAAGGGUUUCUGGCUUUUUUUCCCCCUUGUAAUUUCUGCUAUAGUUUCCAUUGCUUGGCUCGUUUUGCUAUUGCCCUGGAACUUAUGCUUCGAAAUUCAAUUAACCUUUGCAUUAUAGAUACUGAGCAUCUAAAAUUCCAUUAACUUGACUACCACAACCUAGAAAUUACUUUAGGUUUAUGCCCAUCCUCAUUUACUGUCCAUUUGGCAAAAUUGGUGAGUAAAGAGAAGAGAACAAGAGAAUGUGAAGGAUAAUGAUAUCUUUCUGGUGAUUAGGAUGAGAGUGUCCCACUGUCCCUACUUAUUCUUCUUUUUCUCAGGUAAUUCAUGAGAAUUCGGAAAACACAUUUUGGAACUACGAUUUUGCUUAAAAUUGAUGACUUGGCUGUGCUGCCACGGCAAUCAGACGAGCCGAUAUCCAACUUGGAAUCACAGCAGGGUGAAAUCCCUGGGUCCAACCUCUAUUUUCACAUAAUACAUGAUCUGAAAGAGAAGGGAAAACCAUUAAUUAUAAUAUCAGCAUUCUGUGGGGGGUUUGUGUGGGUUUUUUUGUUGUUCCUUGUAUGGGGGAGAUUAGGAUUUUUCUUGUAGCUAUGUUCAAGUUCUUCUUAGUUUAUCUGAGCAUUGCUUGAGAACAUGAGUAGUGGCUUCUUCGUCUUGACAUGGGUUUGUGGAAGAAAAGGAAAAACCAUGAAUUAUAGUAUCAGCUUUCUAUGGGGUUUUGUGUGUUUUUUUUUUCUUUGGAUGUGUGCAUGUGUGUCAAUAUUUUAGCUGACGCUCUAGUAGUUUCCCUUGAUGCCAGCUAAGUUGGUUUGAGUGAGUGUUGAAAACAACUUUCAAAACUCUGAUAUUGUAUGGUGCAUGGGUCAUUUUACAGUUGAAGCUAUGCUCAUGGAAAUAUUCCAAAUUGAGAAACAUUCUAACUAGUUUUCUAGCCUGGGAAGAGGCAUUUUGAUUCUCCGCCCCACCUCUGUGUUUUGAAAUUGAUUGGUUUUAAUUUCACUGAAAUAUGGCAGGUUUGGAAUAUGUCCUUCGUGGGGUCUUUCUCAGAAGCUGUCACGCAUUAUAGGACCCAACAGAGCUCUUGAAGUUGAAGUGUUUUCAACAGCCAUGGCCCUUAACUGCAGGACAAACUGAGAGGUGAGGUUUGGUGAAUCAUCUUGUUGAUGAAAGCGAAUUGCUGAAGAAAGCCCGGAAGUUGCAGAGGCUAUUUUGAAAAAUGAUCAAGACUUAAGUUUUGAGGUAUAAGUCGGUUAUCAAUAAUGGCCUCAAGCUGGACCUGGGUCACACUCUUGCACUUGAAAAGAACUGAAAAACAGGAGCACAGAGGCAUCCCCCAGAACUAGAAUGCAAACAGCAGGACUAACAAGUAAACUAGGGAACAAAGCUGCAAACAAAACUAGUAAAGGAUAGCUUUUUAGAGCUUAUCAACCGGCUGAGGCUGACAACAACAGAAGUUUAGAAGACUAAAGUACAAAGAACAGAUACAUACAUCAACCAGAGGCAAACACAUUAGCAUAUAUGUUUUGCUGCCAAUCAACACACACAAGUCUAUUCUGAUCUGACUUCUUGAUAUUCUUCCACGUUUUGUUAAACAUCUAUCAACAAUGACAAGGAUAGGCUCAAGCUGUGGUUGCGCCUGCAGCAAUUUGUCUUACCCUUCUUCCGAUCGUCCAAUCAGGAUCAAAGUAGUCAAGGAUAUAACACUUGUUCGCUGGAAGUUAAUGAACAAACAUUAAGCUACUUGUUGAAGCAGGAGAGAUACCUUCUUUGCUUGAAAUGACAUCUAGAAACAGCGAGUCUAAGAGUUGGCUUUAUCUGCAUUGGUUAAGUGACCAGGUUGCCAUGAAAACAAGAACUGCAUCUGCGCAGCUGGUGGGGUUCCUCUUUAUCUGAAGUUAACCUUUUCGUUCCAUCUACGCACGUCAUAGUCGCAAAAUGCUAUGGAGUCCUUGAAAAACUUGCUUCAAACAGCAAUGGAACUAAAUUCUUUGUUGAUGAAACUGGGCAGGGAAGUUGCUGCAGCUUAGCUCAAGCUGUAUUAGUGCAGAUUAGUUAGUUUUGGCAGGGAAGUUAGCUAGCUCGUUUUUUAUAUAUAGUGGAGAGCGGUUAGUGUGUAAAGAUCAGGGAAUUGAAUUUUCUAGAGUUCUCUUUUAGUAUUCCAUUGGUUUAAUAAAGAUUCUUUCCUUCUCUA